rfam:Drosophila ananassae strain TSC#14024-0371.13 Ctg01_19561, whole genome shotgun sequence.
CAACAGCCGCAUGCAAAUGCUCUGCCAAUUGUGUGAUGAAUUGUGGCCAGAAGUCAAGGGUUCAUUGUCAGGAUUAGAAGGUAAG